GAUCAGCUCCCGGAUUCCUGUGGGAUCAGCUCCAGGGGCCCUGUGGGAUCUGUGGGAUCAGCUCCCAGGUCCCUGAGGGCUCUGUGGGAUCUGUGGGAUCAGCUCCCAGGUUCCUGUGGGAUCAGCUCCAGGGGCCCUGGGGCUGGCAGCAGCUUCCAUCAGCCUGUCCCUGGCACAGCAGGACACUCGAGGUGUGUGCUGCCAUUUUAAUGUGGUUUUAUCCGAGCAGCCAUAUCCUUCCCUUCACGGUUUUUAUUUUCUGAACUUCAUGAAACUCCACAAACCUCGGUUUUCACACCCUCAGACAGUUUUCUGCCACUUUUGUUGGUGGAAACAUUGAAAACUGGACCUGCCAUUUUUAUUUUUAUUUUUUUCCUUAAACCCUCUGUGCUUCUGUCUGUUGCUCACAUUCUCUUCGGGCUGACAAGCUUUGCAUCUUUCUUGUUUUUUGGGGUUUUAUUUUUUUUGUCACAGAACUCCCCAUUUUGUAACCAGCCUCUCGAAGGUAACAUAAGGCAGCUAAUUAAUGAGUUGGGAUUUCUGGUGGCAGCAGAUUUUGAAUCCUGUUUGGGAUUUUGGAGAGUUCCUACACUAAAUAUGAUCAGGAAGGAGCCUGAUUCAGGUGGGGAAUGGAAUAUUCCUCCAGCAGCUGAGUGAUUGUCCUGUGUGAUUCCCUGGAUUUUAUUGAGGCUGGUAAAUUCCUUUACCUUAUAAAAAUUGAAGUUCUCUAACGUUCUUGACUCUCAUGGAACUACUGUUGCAGUUACAAUAAAGAUGAUGUUGUUUCAUUGUAAAUCUAUUUUUAUUUUUUUACAAUGGUUUGAUAUUUUUAAUUUUUUUUUUUUCCAGAGCAGGAUCAGGCUGCAGGGAGAUCUCAGUCUUGAAAAAGAAAAUGUAAUCCCCUCUCCUCUCCCACAGCUCUUCCCACCUGCUGGAUUGCAGGGAGAGCAGAAAUUCCCUCAACUUCUUGGGUAAUUCUGGGAAAAUAAAUGGCUGCAUUUUAAAAAUAAAAACCAUUUGGGGGUAGCAAACACUUGUGCAAUUCUCUGGUUCCCAGAGCUGUUGCCCUGCAGUCCAAAAUGUUUCAAUGGGUUCUUAAGGUUUUCCUUUAAUUCAGGUGUACAAGAAUUCCAGGGGCUCUGGUUCUUCACCUGCCACACCUGAUGUUUUCUGAAGUGUAUUUUGUGCGUCUCACCUCAAAUAUAUUUUUGGUUGUUUCAUUUUUUUUUUAUUUUUUAAGAGAAGUUGAGGCAGUGAAACAUCAUUUUUCUGUUAUUUCAGGCAGUUUUUGGAUUGUUUUACCCUGGAGCUUUGGCCUUUUGUUCCACAGAACUGUUCUGCAUUCUCACGUGUUCAUUUCUGGUGGGUUGGAGGCUGCCUGAUGCUCCUUUCUGAGUGUCCCAAACACCAUGAAAAUCCCAGAUUUUCAGGAUUUUGUAACUUUUUCUAACCCUGUUUUGCUGAUUGGUACAAACACUGAACCCUAAUGGUCUCUGUUAGAAAUACAGCAAUUUCACAUUUUUACAGAUGGGAGAAAAUUGUCAAGGUGAAUAUUUCUAUGAUUUUGAAUAUUUUUAUUUUCACAUACAUUGUUUUUCAGUAGCAGCAGACUUCAUCUUUUUAAAUGCCCAUUGGAAUUAAUUUGUAUUAAAAGAUUCUGGAAGGAAAGCUGGGAAAAUGCCUUUCUUUAGGAGCACCAAGGGAUUUUUAUGGAGCAGAAAGUUUCAUUCACAGGAGGAGGCUUUAAAAAGAUUCUCUCCCACAGCUGUAGUCCUGGAGCCUUUGCAGAGAGGUAAAAUGGAUUUAUUCCAAAAUUCAGUCAGGCUCCGGCUCUGCCCUAGCCUUGCUUUUAAAAUUUCAGAACUUCCAUAAAUCCACACCAGCACCUCCACCUCUGGUUCCUGCCAACAUCCUGCCUUGAACUUUUUAAAAUCAGUCAAAAUCUGCAAUUUCAGCUUGGAUUUUGUGCUAAAAAUGGUUUGGUUCAGUUCCAGGGGGGUCAGCAGAAGAAUGACAACUGUGCUGAGUUAAGGGGGUCAGGAGUGGCUUAAAAAUGGGGCAGCUGAAGAGUUUUUGAUCAGUUUUAAUUUCCUCAAGGCAGAGAGUGAGGGGAGAGAAGCAGCACCACCAGGGCAGCGCAAAAAUCUGAAAUUCCUGGGUUUUGUUGUUUUUUUUUCCUUUUUUAUCCUUUUUUUCCCUUUUUUUUUUGAAUAUUCCCUCUACUGAUAGCCACAAAGGUACAAGAGCCACUGAGGCAGCCAGGUGAGAGAGGGAGGGAAGGAAUCUGUACCAUGCUGGAAGCUUUUGGAGCUGUAGGAAAAAAAAAAAAACAAAAACAAAAAAAACAAACCUGGUGCUUUGCUUUUCUGUCCUGUUCGUGAAGUGUUUAUUUUUCUAACAGAUCCUAACGUUGAACACACGGUUCCUAAAAGCUACAAAGUGAUCCAGGAGUUUUGGUGUUUGAUGGGGAAUUCAUUCAUCUGUUGAGGGGGCAGGAGUUGGAGCAGUUUUGGAGGGACGCUGGCACGGAGUGGUCGGUGGCGUUUAGGAUGGGUGAUUUUGGGGAAGCUGCUGCCACAGUUUUCUGUGGAAAUGAGAAAUUCUGUGUGUAUCUGACCCAACAGAGCAUUUCCCCUCAGCUUGGAGUGUUUCCCUGCAGUUUUAGGAGGCUUCAGUCCCAGUGCUGAUGGAACAGAAGCGACACUUUAACACUUUGUUCUGCUUGUCCAGGAGGAUUUUUGGGCUUUUUUGAGCCCAUCAGAGCAGGGAGAGCCGACAGUGUCCUUCAGAGACCUCCCCAAGCCCAGCCUAGCUCUGAAUCAAAUCCGAACCUUCCCACUUGAGUAGCUGAAUGUCUUUUCAUGGAACUCUUGCUGUCAAACCAUGAAUAUUUGUGGGGUGCAGCCCGGCCUUGCCCGGUGCUGCUCCCCAGCGCCAGCCCCGACCGUGCCCAGCAUGCUCAGUGUGACUGCAAAGCACCCGUGUGCAAACGCUCUGUACAGUGGGGCCAGGGUUUUUUAUAUAUAUAUUUUGGGAUGGGGGGGGGGGGAGGAGGGUGGGUGUGGAGAUCCUGAAAUCAGCUUAAGCCAGACUUAAAUGUGUGUAAAAAAACCCCAAAAUCUUCGGUGUGUGAGUGCGCGAGCGGGAGUGUCUGACAUCCCAUUCCCUUUGUGUUCUCAGCAUUUGUGAGGUUUUAUUUCUUUUUUCUUAUUUCCCCCCCCCCCCCCUUCCUGCAGAAGCAAUUGUUACAAAGAAAAAUAAUUGUAAAUAAGAGCUACGUAAUUUUUUUUGUUGUUGUUUGCCAUCAUGUCACAGCAAACCCUGAGUGAGCAGUGUGAAGGUGGAGGAGGAGACUGGCAGCAUUUUCUGGUAUGCAAUGAAUAUUUUGUCUCGAGUAUCUGCAAUUCCCCUGGUGAGCUUUUGGAAGAAAAAAAAAACAAGUGAAAAAAAAAUUCAGGCUCUUUGCAGUUCCCCUCCUUGUCCUUUUUAAUUUUUAUUAUUAUUUUUUGUUUAAUUUCAAAAGCAGGAAGAAGGGGCAGCUGCAAACAGUCAUCGCUGUGGGGUUAGGAGCUCUUGACAACCCUGAGAUCUAGCAUGGUACUAGGAGUUAAGUCUGAAUGUAACAUUAAUGCUUUAUUUAAAAUUAAAAACAAAAACACUUUGGUUUUGGUUUUUUUUUUUUAAGGGGUUGAAGUGAACAUGACUGUUGACCAUGUUCGUGAAUUUCUAGAUGCAAACAUUCAUUGGUAGAAUUGUGUGAUGGUCUUUUGUGCUAAUUAAUUUGACAUAUUCCAAGUCUCUGUAUGUACCUGCAAAGAAAGAAAAACAAAAAAAAUAACAAAAACCCUGCUUUGCUUUGAUUGAAAAAGGGUUCCUGGGACUGCAUACCUGCUCCUGAGCUCUGUUUUAAGUAUGUGUAUCCUUCGCUUGUAUUUUGUAUUAAAAAAAAGAACCACGAGGAAAAAAAUGAACCCUUUAUUGUUCAGCAUGUUGGAAUUGUGUCCCCUCUUUUAUUUUUCUCCUUUUUGGAAUAUAUUAAGCAACUCAUUCUUCUGUAUCUUUUAUUUUCUUUUGUAAACUUUUUGGUUUUGUUUAAAAAUGGCUUUAUAAAAGGGCUUUUAUAACCCAUGAACACGACUGGUGUCAUUUUUCUGCUGCUCCAAGGGGAUCAUCCUGUGAGAGGUAAAAAGUGUUCAUCUUCCAGCAUCUCUGAGAGUUUUGGGGUGAAUUCCUUGGAAUUCUCUGAGGAGGUGAUGCCAGCUUUGGGCCAGGUAUGACUUUCCCAUCAUUGCUUGAGAACUGACCGGGAAGAAUGAAAUAAUCCAGAAAAUUGUGCUUUGCCCAGGCUCUUCCUGGAGUUCUAAAUUGAGAUUUUAAGGUCCAAAACCAAUUUGAGGGAGAGAUGAGAGGAGGGACAAAACCCUUGGAAUGUCAUCUUCCCCUCCAGGAGCUUCCCCUGGUGUGUCCCAGCAGAUGGGAAACUUUUUAUGGAAAAAUUCAUCAGGAAUUUGGGAUCAAUCAAUUUUGCCUGUUGUCAUGGCAAGCACAGGCAGGGCUCGGCCCGGCCCCAGGUGCUCUCUCCACCUCUGGAGGUCACGCAGGGAAUUUCUCCUUUUACCAAAUCCUUUGGGGCAGAUUCCAUCGCCUUUCCUGCAGCUCCGGGGCGGAUUUUUCCCGAUUUUGGCUCAUUUUGAUGCGCGGCUGUGCCCGCGAUGUGCCAGCAGAGGGUGCUGGGAGGGCGAGGUUGAACCCUGGAAUGGAUGAAAUACUCUGGAAUGUGCUGGAAUUUCGGGUACAGGGAAGAUUUCUUCGUUUGUUUUGAGGGGUUUUGAUUUUUAGAGAAAUAUUGGUUUUAACUUUUCUUUAUCUGAGAGGGUUUUUGAGAUUUUGGCAUGGGUUAGCAUUUAUUAGAGUAUGAAAUAGACAAGAAUAGUAUAACUUGUUAUAGUUUGUUACAAUAAAUAAUAGUAUAGUUUUCUAUAUCUGUGUGAAAUAGAAAAUAAAGAAUAGUAUAAUUUGUUAUAUAUAGUUUGUAAUAAUAAAGAAUAAUAUGGUUUGUUAUAUCUAUUUGUGUGAAAUAGGUAAUAAAGAAUAGUAUAGUUUGUCAUAAGUUUGUUAUAAGAGGUUCCACCUGGCCCUCCCAGCGAGGGAGGUGGUGGAACCUCUGGAAUGGGAUGAAAACCUCUGGAAUGUGCUGGAAUUUCAGGUAUAAGGAAGAUUUCUUUCGUUUGUUUUGAGGGGUUUUGAUUUUUAGAGAAGUAUUGAUUUUAACUAUUCUUUAUAGAGAGGGUUUUUGAAAUUUUGGUAUAGAUUAGUGCUUAUGAAAGUAUGAAAUAGGUAAUAAAGAAUAGUAUAAUUUAGUAUAUAUAGUUGGUCAUAAGAUAAUAAAGAACAGUAUAAUUUGUUAUAUCUAUUCAUGUGAAAUAGAUAAAAAGAAUAGUAUAUUUUGUUAUAUGUUUGUUAUAAGAGGUUCUACCUCCUCCCUCUAUGGGAGGGCAAGAUGGGAGCUCUGGAAUGAGAUGGAAACGUCUGGAAUUUUGGGUACAGGGCAGAUUUCUACGUUUGUUCGUCUGUCCCCGCCUCAGACUUGUGCUGCCCUGACAGUCCCAAGUGCACCCUGCAAACUGACAUCAUGAACCUGGGCUGGCCGGUUUUGUUUCAUAGGGAAAAAGGCCAGAGUUUGUGCUCAGGGGCUCAUGGCCCUGAGUCGAUGUUUUCCUCCUGAAAUUCCAUACGCCGAAUAAGGUGUCCAAGACCUAAACUACCUACAUCUAAAACUUGUGAUGCCCUGACAAUCCCAGAAACACGCUGCAAACAAAUCAGGAACACGGGCUGGCCAGUUUUCUUUCAUAAGGAAAAAGAGCCGGCAAUUGUGCUCAGGGUCCUCUGGCGCUGAGCGGGCAGCGGACUACAAAAAACCCGAACAUCGACGGAUAAGUCCCAGACAGGAGCUGCCCCCGCCUCAUACUUGUGCUGCCCUGACAGUCCCAGAGGAGCCCUACAAACUGACAUCAGGAACUUUUGCUGGUGAGUUUUGUUUCAAGGUGAAAUGCUUUUGCGUCUUUCCUUUAGUGCCUGUGGCCCUGAGUGUGCGGCCACCUCCCAAAAAUCUAACCAGGUAAGGCUGUGGCCCUGCACUAGUGUUCCACAACCUUGAACUUGUUCUGCCCUGACAGUGCCAUGUUCACCCUACAAUCUGACAUCAGGAUCUGCGGGUGGAAGUUUUGUUUCCCAGGGGAAAGGGCCGCUGUUUUUACUCAGGUGCUCGUUGCCCUGAGUCAAUAUUUUCCUCCUUAAAUUCCAUACGCGAAAGGAUGUGUCCCAGACCCGAGAUGCCCACGUCUCAAACUUGUGCUGCCCUGACAGUCUCAAGGGAGCCCUGCAAACAAAUUAGCAUCUGGGCUGGCCAGUUUUGUUUCAAAGGGAAAAGGGUAGACGUUUAUGCUUGAGGGCCUGUGGCCCUGAGUGUGCGGCCACCUCCCGAAAAUCCAAACAGCGAAGGAUGUGUCCCAGACCCAGUGUUCCACCACCUGGAACUUUUGCUGCUCUGACAGUCCCAAGGGAGCCCUACAAACUGGCAUCAGGAUCUGAGGGUAGCAAGUUUUGUUGCUUUUCCCUGGGAAAAAGGGCCGGUGUUUGUGCUCAGGGGCUUGUGGCCCUGAGUCGAUGUUUUCCUCCUGAAAUUCCGUAAGCCAAAGGAUGUGUCCUAGACCCAAGAUGCCCACAUCUCAAACCUGUGCUGCCCUGACAGUCCCAACCGAACCCUACAAACUGACAUCAGGAACUUGGGGUGGUGAGUUUGUUUCAUAGGGAAAAAGGGCCGGAAUUUGUGCUCAGGAGCUGGUGGCCCUGAGUCAAUGUUUUCCUUAUGAAAUUCUGAACAGCGAUGGAUGUGUCCCGGACCCCAGCUGCCCCCACCUCAUUUUUGUACUGCCCAAGAGUCCCAAGCGCCUCCUGCGAACUGACAUCACAAUCCUGGGUUGGUUUCUGUUUGGGGAAGAUAACAGCUCCAGCAUCACCACAUUUCAUUUGUCACCCUCUCUUUUCUCCUGCAGCGUUUCCAGCUCAGGUCUUGGCCGUGGGAGAAGAUUUUUGGGUUUCAUUAUCAACAACUGCCUCCCCCGACCACAGGGCUCUGUUGGUUUACCUCAUUACCACGCUGUUCAGAUAUUUUUGAUUAAUUUCAAUUGUUUGAGCCUGAGAACUUCUGUUUUCCUCCUCUCAAGACCAAGCCAGUACUGAAUUUUUUUUUUUGUUGUUUUAAAGUCUUUGCUUGGAAUUCAGGUGGGUUUUUUCUAAGCUUAGUGGUUUUCUGAGUGUUUUAUGAAGGUGAGAUUAUUGUGGUGUUUCUGUUUUGCUUCCUGAGAAAUGAGUGAAGGAAUAAUUUGUCUAUAAUCCAAUUUACCACACUAGGCUGUCAUUUCUUUUUCCCUAACUGGUCCUGUUUUAAUUUUUUCCCCUUAAUUUCACUUCACUGCUGAUUAUGACACUGAAUUUGAAGAAGCUUCUGUUCCCAGAAACAGUCAGGCCAUUAAUUUUAAAUUAAUAACACAUUUCUCAGAGGCAGAACAAGUCUCACAUUUGGAAGUGGCUCAGUUCUUUCAUUCCCAUUAAACUGGUUUUACACCUUUAAAUAAAACCACUUAAGUGACUUUGAAA